rnacentral:lncRNA from 1 species
AAGAAAAGAAUCGUGUUUAUAUAAGAAAUCAAGCAAAAGCAUGGGAGAAUGUCACAAGCAUAUAGAUGAAAUGAGGCCUAUAAUUAGACAAAACUACCAUGAACGACAAUUCUUUCAAGUUCUGAGGAGUUUCAGAGCAUUUGGAAGAUUAGCAAAGUAUAUUGAUCCAAACAUAUAUUAUCAUUAUCAGUCAUUAGGCAAUCAAAAUUAGCCACUGCUGUGCAUAGUACCAAGUCUUAGUUAAGCAAUAAGAAAUGUGCAAGCAUAGUAACCACAGCUCUUCAUUUCCUGAUCAAGAGAACGAAAUCAAAGCAUAAGAUAGAAUAUGGUAACGAAGGCAAUCAACAUCAUAGACUGAAAGAAUGAUUUAUAAGCUUGAAGUGGCAUUUCAUCAAACACUUAAGUGCAAGCAUUAGAAGGAUAGACCGUCAAGCACAGCAUAUCACCUUGGGUGUCUCGAGAAUGACCUGAUUGACAUGGAGCAGUAAGCACAGCAAAAUCACCUCGACGUGGCGAGCUUGGCUAUUUUGGUGGACGGCAAGCACAGAGCAGCAAACAAGGGCGACGGCGUCCUUCUGCCUUGCUGGCACUGAUGCCUUAGCGAGCUCCAUGGUGGUGUGGCGGAUGUACGUCCUCAGGCAUGGCUAGCGUGGCCAGGUCAACGCGAGGCAGACGCCCGUCGGUGCCUGUGAGGACCUUCUAUCGAUGGCUUCGCUGGAGAUGGCAGAGAGGGAGGGGGCAGUGGGGCUUACAUGAAGAUGACCCAUCCGCCGAGCAGGCUGUCGGCGUGGCAGGCGGUGAGGCGGAGGCGCGGGCUUGGCGAAGGAGAGGAAAGAGGGGCGGCGGCGGGCUUGUCGCAGGGGAGGGCGGCGCGCGGCGGCGGCCAUGGGGUGGGAUUUGGGGCAGCGACCGCAGUGUCGCCCUUGGAUGCGGAGGCGGCGGCGGGCUUGGCGGCGGAGGAGGUCGCGGGCAUGGGAGCGACGGCGGCGGCGGGGAUGGCCGGCUUGGGGGCGGAGGAGGCGGCCUGCUUGGUCGUCUCUAGGAGGCGCUUCCACAUGGGUGCCAAGGCGACGGUCGGAGAAGCCGCCGCCGCCGGUGCGUGAUGCGGCAGCAGCUUCCGGCGGGCGCGCUUCGUUGGACGCGGGGGCCGGGGUGGGGUCGCUGGCGUGGCGCGGGUGGGCGAGGAGGUGCGCGUGCGGGAAUGGCGGCGGCGGCAGCGUGGGGAGGAAGAUGCGGACGAAGACGGGGAGGGUGGAGGGGGAAACAGGAGGCGGAACGGGACUGACCGUAAAAACGUCCCCCUCUGAUUGUUUUAGCUGUACAGAAGAGAAAGACACUCAAAGGUAUAUCAUUUCUGAUGUAUACUCCCUCUAUUCCAAGUUAAACUUCAGAUGGUUUGAUUUGGAACAAAGUUUGACAAAUCUAUGUAAAAAGUGGUAACACACAAAUAACAGUAUCGUAUUUCCAAUCCUCUAGUUGUGAGGCUACCAACAAGAGUUCAAACCCUGGAUCUCACAUAAAAAUAGACUCCUUGCUGUUAUAUUGUGCCUUCAGAGUCCGAGACGAAGUUAGGAUUGAAGUAUAGAGGGAGCCAAUAUAGUAGUGAACAUGCCUUAGGAUCCGAACAUCGGAUUAACUUUUAGGGCCUGUUUGUUUGAGUGCUUAUGCAUAAGCAACUUAAAAUAAGCAAAUAAGUUGCUUAUGAAACCAAUCACUUUUGCUUAUAGGGUUGCUUAUGAGGUUGCUUAUUAUAAGCAAAUAAGCAACUCUUGGGUUGCUUAUGGGGAGUAAAAGGUGCACUUUACAUCUCCUGCCCUCAUUCAAUGCACCCUACCCUCCUCUCUCUCCCCCCUCUCCCGUCACCGAGCACCACUCCCCUGCCUCCGCGCCGCCGGCCUCCGCGCCACCCGCUGCCCCCGGCUGCCGUGCCACCCGCCGCCGCUCCCGCUCGCUGCUGCCUCCGCGCCGCCCGCCUCCCCGCCUCCUCGCCGCUCGCCGCCGCUCCCGCCCGCCGCCCGCCUCCACGCCAUCCGCCGCCGUGCUGAUCCACCCUGGUUCUAGGGCUUGGAGGCCGGGAUCGGGUAGUGCAGGAAGAAGAAGGGUGGGGAGGCAAAUUGGAGGGUAGCAACACAAGAGGCAAAUAUGACAAUGUCCAUCUCAUAAAGCAAGGGUAUCCAAACAGCUUAGACUAAAAAUAAGCAACUCCAAAUAAACACCUUUGCAUCUUACCUUUCAUCCAAAGAGGGCCUGAGAGCAACUCAAACCAAACAGACCCUUUUUCAUGAGCUCCAAGAGGGCCUGAGAGCUGUCAGUAGUGUCGGGGCCAGCUGUCACAUGAUAGCAUUUCCAUUGCAAAUAGUGUUUCAUACGUGGUGGUGAGUCAGGCCUUGUUUAGUUGGUCAAAUUGGGAGGUGCCAAAUUACUGUGCUGGCACUGUAGCACACUGUAGCGUUUCGUUUGUAUUUGUGAAUUAUUGUCCAAACAUUAACUAAUUAGGCUCAAAAGAUUCGUCUCGCAAAGUACAACAAAACUGUGCAAUUAGUUUUUAAUUUCAUCUACAUUUAGUACUCCAUGCAUGUACCGCAAGUUUGAUGUGAUGGGGAAUCUUCUUUUUGCAUAGUGGCAAAGUUGGGAGUUGGGGGUGAAACAAGAGCUCCUAUGGUUUCAGUAAAAGUGGCAUCAGUACUUUGCAUCCUACCUUUCAUCCUGUUUCCCCAACGUCUGAAGACGAAAAGGUAAUGGGCACGGGGCCACACAUCUCCUUCUCGUCUCUCUAACCAAGCAAGGGAUCGGGGUACGGGACCCACCCCACCCCCACCAUAAAGAAAAAGAGGACAGGUCCUCUCACUCCCACUGGGGCGUAGAAUCAUCGUCCUUGAUCCGUCAGAGCGUCUCCGGCAGGCAUUAAAGAAUUGGGAGGGAGAGCGGUCGUCAACGCCGGCGCCGGUGGAGCAAAUAUCUGUUGCUGAUCAACACAGAUACUACUCACGAAGCUGCUGUACCAGGAGGCAUCCAUGCAGAUACUAUGCGGGCCAGGAUAUCAUGUGGGCAGAUUGAUUUAUAUUUUGCAGUGCUCAGAUCCUCGGAGAACGAUCUCAGGUCUCAAAUAACAACAUUCUUAAACACGACGCAGGAAAGAACUUGAAGAACAGGAUUUGGUUUGCCGAUUCAGACACACAUAGGAAACCAUGGCUAUCAUGCGCGGCGGAUCGAUUAGCACAGCAGCCGGCGAAAUGACUGGAUCCGCGUCCGGAUCCGAUCAGUAGUCGUCGUCGUAGCCGCCGCCGUAAUCGUCGUAGCCGCCCCCGUAGCCGCCGCCGCCGCCGUACGAGUCCUCCCUCUCCAGCUUCUCCUCCACCCUCUCCGAGACGCGCUCCUCCAACUUGUUCUCCAGCAAGCUCGCCCCGCCGGCCAGCGCCAGGCCCCCGAGCACGCCCGCCGCCGCGCCGACGGCCAACCCCGUCCCCAUCCCCAUCUUGUUGCUCUUCUUGCCGUCGGCGCCGGCGACGGGAGCAGCAGCGCCGUACGCGGGCGCGGCGCCGCUGUACGCAGCGGGUGCCGCGGCGCCGUACGCCGCGGUGGCAGCGGGAGGAGCACCGUACGCCGGCUGCGGCGGAAGCGGCGCGGAGCCGUAGGCCGAAGGGUACCCUGCCGGGGGCGCCGCGGCGUAAGGCUGCGCGGCGCCGUAGCCACCCGAUCCGUAUGCGCCGCCGCCAUAGCCGCCGCCGGAGCCGUAGUAGCCGCCACUGCCGGAGCCGUAGGGGUCACGGGUGCCGUGCUGCGCGUACCCCGCCGGCGCCGGGUACGGGUUGGGGUCGUAGUACCUGGCCGGCUCCUUGAUGGCGACGCGAACGUCGAGGCGGCCGUGUGGCCUCCCCGAUGGCCGCUUGAGGCGGAGGUUGCGGGAGGCCUUCCCCCCGAUCCCCGCGUCGUCGAGGACGUCGCGGAGCGGGAGGCGCGCUGAGCCGACGAGCGGCUUGACCCCCUCGGCGGCGUUGGCGUGGACGACGUCGAGGUAGAGGACGGCGUCGUCGAGGCGGGAGGAGGGCGGGAGCGGGACGAGGAGCUUCUCGUCCCAGGAGGGGCUCUCGCCGUUGUCGAGGUCGACGCGGGUGGAGCACUUGGCGCCGGAGUCGACCCAGACGACGGCGUACGGCUUGAGGUCGCCGUUGCGCCAGUUGACGUUCUUGAGGUCCCGGGCCGAACCGACGGUCACCUCCACCUCGUAGCGGGACCCCAUCGCCUCUCCGGCCGGCGGUGGCAGGAAGGGCAGACGGAGGGGAAGCUUGUGCCUUUUGCUUUGCUAGAUUAGCGACUGGAUGGAGGAACGGGGAGGACGGCGACCUGUAUAAAUAGGGACGGGACGUCUCGGGUUGGGGUUUGGGUUGGGUUCCACGGCACCGCGGGGAACUGCACGCGGGGGGACGGGAAAGGGGCUGCGGCGUCACCCCGUCAUCCUCUGGCCGUGGUUUGACUGGGGGAGUGGCCGAGUGGGCCAGUGGGGACAGUGGGAAGGGCUGCAAGAGAUAGGGAUCGCGGCCACGCGGUUGGCAUGGCCUGGUGUGCGCGGCCACUUGGCGUGGGAAGGUCCCGCGUUGGACCCGACUGGCUGCGGCGAGGGGCCUGCGCGGCUGCACCAAUUGUUGAGCAGAUCAAACUGGGCCCAUCUGGCCCCACACCACGGCGACCCAACCACCCCCGGCGCCCACACGCCCCGUUCCACGUUCCACUCACGGCGUCGUCGCUAACGGAAACGGCAGCCACGGUCGUCGUCCCUCCCCUGUCCCCUCCCUCAGCGCUCUUCUGUCGUCUUCCUUCAGAUUGCUUGCAAGUCUUCUCUGGCCUGCGGUGCCUUGGAUUUCUUCUUUGCUUAGCUAUUAAGGGAUGACGUCAUUAAUAACCUCGUUAGGUGCCAGCAGGCUCCGUCCCCUACGUAUUAUGACUGUAUAUGUAUAUGGUCUCCGUUGGAAAAUAUUUUAGCUGGCUGUACUGAUCAGACCAGUCACCGCACAGUCGCACAGAGCAACUUGCUGCCGAAAUUUUAGAUCCUAAUUUGAACUUCGGACCUGAUCGACCAAAUUCGCCAAGAAAGCAACUACUCCUAUUACAUUGCACUAUGUCAUGGUUUGUAGAUACUAGUAAUAAUACAAAAUGGGACUAGCCAUGCAACUAAGGGGGUGUUUGGUUCCCUUGCUUUUUUAGCACGUGUCACAUCGAAUGUUUAUAUACUAAUUAGGAGUAUUAAACGUAAACUAUUUACAAAACUCAUUACAUAAGUGGAGGUUAAACGGCGAGAUGAAUCUAUUAAGCCUAAUUAAUCCAUCAUUAGCAAAUGUUUACUGUAGCAACACAUUGUCAAAUCAUGGACUAAUUAGGCUUAAUAGAUUUGUCUCGCCGUUUAGCCUCCACUUAUGUAAUAGGUUUUGUAAAUAGUUUACGUUUAAUACUCCUAAUUAGUAUCUAAACAUUCGAUGUGACACGUGCUAAAAAUAAGCAACUGGAACCAAACCAGGCCUAAAACAUGAAGUGGGAUGAAGACGAAUAAUAGGAAAUAAAUAUAUUUAUGGAUAUGCCGCAGUGGCUGGGCGCGGUUAUAUAUUUUGCUGAAGUGAUAAAUAAGGACUCCCAAAAGUUUGCAAUCCUUAGCACGUUUUGAUCUCGUUGAUGUAAAAUCUGGACUUCAGACUUUAGGCUUCUGCAUUGAACAACACGGAGCACCUGGGAGAUCUGUGCAGGCCCCAAAUCGGCUCACGAAGGUGCAAGACGUGCUAGUCAAUUUGACCUAAAAUUGACAAGGGAAACGUUAAAUUCUUGAGUCGAUAGGCAGCUAAGUCUUCGAGCUCAUAAACAUGCGUUACUUGGAAUAACACCAUACCAGUUAGAUUUUCAAUGUAAUCAUACAGUGUAAAUAAACAGAAGCAUUAAUGGUAUGUGCCAUCGGCUAUAUGAGCUGAUGGGUUAGAAUAGAUGCAAUAUAAAACAAUAGUCAUAAAAUGAGCCCUUGCUACCUGUUGACGGCAGUUAGCACACCAAGUUGUGAAUCGCAAGUGCACGGAUCAUCGUAACUUUUCCCUUAUGGCCUGUUUGGAUCUAUGGAAAUAGACUGAAUUGGAAUCCUUUUCCUUCCUGGGCCGGCCUGUUUGGCUGCACAUGGAAUUGGAAAUUGUCUUUCCAGUACUUUCUACCGGCCGAUUUGCUUGCCUACGACAUAUUCUGCGGCUAAAAACAAGAAAUCGAUUCCAUCCGCAGCUCAUCUCCCCUCCCAACUCGCCUCCGAUUCGUCCCCGACAUCGCGCGACCUCCCCUCCUGACUCGCCUCCAUCCACGAUGUCGUCUUUUCAUGUCGAAGAGCUGCCUCCCCUCCCGACUCACCUCCAUCCCUAACGCCGUGCCGCCUCCCCUCUCGAAUCGCCUCCAUCUCCGAGCACCGCCCCGCCACCUCUGUGCCAUGGCCUCUUCCUUGAAGCGUCCCCACAUCAGUGGAGACUAAAUGUGAUACAAAUCCUAGGAGGCUGAUAGCACAUUUAUUCAACAGAUGGUUCAAAAACCUACAACUCUCAAGGGAGUGGGUGCGGAAGCCAUGCCGAAACGAUAAGUAAAUAAACAACAGCAGUGAGCCAAGCUACUGUCAAGAGACAUCACUCGGGACUACACGACAGCGGAAGCAUUCUACAAAUGCCAACACCACAGGCAGCGUUGGGUGCGGAAGCGACCUUCUACUCGAAAUCCUCGGUGACGAAGUCCGGGUCUUCCUCUGAAGCAACAAAACAAGGGUGAGUACAAAAGUACUCGAUAAGUCCAACCCCAUCCACGGAGGGGGAUACAAUCAAGAAUAUGCACAGGAUAUGUCAAGGAUAAGGCUAAGGUUUAUUUGCAUCAAAGCUAGAUUUUUCAACACAUGCAAGGGUUCAUUUAAAAAAGGAUUUUCACAAAGCAUUUUCUUUAAUAACCGAAGCAUUAAGUGGGGUUGAUCCUACACAAAGGAUCCGAGUUUUAAUGCUACCGGAUUCCCCGUCUGCGGUAGCUCACGGCACAACUGCCAGACACUUUCAAAAUCCAACUCACACCAUGAAAACCAUCCAUCACCCAAACACUAGUUAUGUGUCCAAGCUGUAACUCGUCCCAUGCCGUGGACACGGCUACUUAGAUAGAUUUUAACUCUGCAGAGGUUGUAAACUUUACCCACAAGUAGGGUACUGCAGCACGAUCACCUUAGUGUCGGUGCAGAUCCUAUCAAAGCCAUUACCCACCUUAGCUAAGACUGACUAGCCAACGCGGAAGCAACCAAGGGGUUAACGACCUACCAAUGAGGUUUUAACCGGGAUCUAAGUUCACACAGUUUUUAUUCCUUCUCCAUGAUCUCUCAUUGCUUACCAGCUCUCCUGAUGGCUAACAGACCAGCUAGUGGGAUUUAUGCUAAGCCGCCGCCCAUACAACGGUCGAGUGGUUGCACGGUAGUUGGGUUAGGCAAGAUGGCACAUCAACUCGGUCCUUAACUGUGACAAGAUGGAUAUCUCCCAACCUUGCUCAACCAUUAAGGUACGAGCCCAACUUAUUGGCAUUUCACACAAGAAACACCCAUCCAUCUCAUCUAAGCAUUUCUUUUCUUUAUUUCCGAAAACCCAUUUUUCUCAUUUGAAAACACUCACACAUUUAUUCUUUAAAUAAACCAUUUUAGUCAUGAUUGAAUUGAGUAACAAGGUCUUAAGCAUUCUAGCAGUAAUUAUCAUCCAAAUAGAGCAAAUCAUAUUUAGAGAUAAUUAUAGGACAAUCAAGGAAUGUUCAUAGCAAUUAAGGGGUGGCUAUCCAACCGUAUUUUCAGUAGUAAAACAAUAUGCAAUUUUGUAAAAUAGACCAAUGGGUUGUGUUUGAAAAACUAGGAUAAAUAUGCAUCAAAAGGUGAGAUUGAACUUGUUGUCCUUGUAGCUGGCCAGGAGUUCUUGCUCGCAGUGCUGGUUCUCAGGCUCGGGCUCACGGUAUUGGUCGUCAAGCUCCCCUUCGGGCUCCUCCUCGAGCACUCCACGAUCUACAGCACACACAAUCGAGCACACAAUAAAUAAAAGAAAAAUAAGAUUUUACCUGUUGAGCUCGAACAGAGAAAUCAAACAAAAAAUAGGAGGAAUGAGUAUUUUUAUGGAAUUUGUAGAUGACUUGGUGGGAAUAUAAUAGAGGAUGAUGUGGUCGAAUUUGGGAUUAAUUGGAGAAAGUUUGGCGCAUGAAAUGACGAGGCGAAGGUGUGUUUAGGGGUUAAACGGUGAAUCAGGGGCUUGUUUGCGAGGAACCAGGGACCUAUUUGUAAAUAUUUUUGGGAGGUAGAAGGGCUGAUCUGUGAAAAGAGUAUGAGAGAGGUGGGAGGGCUGUUUUGCAAAAUAGAAAAAGAUGGGGGUUAGAUCAAAAUUGGGGGGAGGAUUUUCCCCUUCUUCGGUUCAGGAACAGAGAGGGUGGGGGUGGAGAUGGCCAGUGGCGGCCGGCCGGCCGUGGCUUUGCCGGCGGUGAGGCCGAGUGGCGGGGAAGGUGGAGGAGGGGGAGGGGAUCCUAUUUGGGCCCGCACCUUGGGUGGGCGGCACCGGGGAAGGGGGCGCCGGCGGUGGUCUGGGCGGCGGCGGUGGCGCUGCGUAUGGCGCAGGGAGCGGGCGAGGAGCUUGGGCGGGCGAAGGGCGGGGAGCUUGGGUGCAGAGGAGGUCGGGUGUCGCUCCUUUUAUAGCCGACGGGCGGGGAUGGCGACGUACGACGUACAGGCGGCGGUAGGGGUCGGUGGCCAGCGAGCUUUGAGUGGCGGCCGGUGGCGAGACGGUAGGGGCCGGUGGCGGUUUAGCUGCAGGGGGGUGGGUGAGAGUUGGGGUACGGCGGUAACAAGCUGGGUGGUGGGGGACGGGGCGCAUAGGGGCCGAGCGCCGGGCGCGGCGACGGGGCCGGCGCCGGUGUGCGGCAGGGAGCGGGGGGUCGAGCAAGGGCCGAGCGCCGGGAUGGCGAGGCGCGCAGGAGGGGGGCCCAACACUAGGUGCCGUAGGUGAGGGGCCUGGGCGUGCAGGCACUGGGGGGAGCAGGCGCUUGGCACCAGGGGAGGGGGCCGACGGUGCAAGCCAGGCAGCAGGCGCAGCCAGGAAGAAGAAAGGAGAAGGAAGGAAGAAGAAAGAAAGGAAGAAGGAGAAAGGAAGGAAGAGAAGGAAGAAAAAGAAAAGAGAAAAAAGGAAUAGGGGAAAAGAGAAACAAAAGAAAGGAAGAGUCGGCGGAAAAUGGUCGGGCACGUGCGAGAUUUUUGUCGGGCACGCGGCGGGGAAAACGAAGGAUGAAAAUGAUGGCGGGCGGCUCGGAUGCCGGGACGGCGAAAUCGUCGGGAAGAUUAGAUUUUCCGGGAGCUCAACGGUCGAAAGAUUUUGAAAGCGAGUUUAAUGAGUGAUUUAAGUUAGUAAAUUUUAGGGAUGUUACAUUCCUCCACCUCCUAGUUCCACCUCCUCCGUCGCCCCUCCUCCUCUUCCUGUUGCCGGCUCUCUCCCGACUGCAUGGAGGCUAGUGUUUCCUAGUGUCUCCCCCACAAUCACAUACAAUCGCAUCCAUGUGUCGCUCUGCCGCGCUGCUGCCUCCUUGACUCGCUCUGCCGCGCGGCCGUCAGAUCUACACUACGGCAAGCCGGUGGCCCUCACCUCCGCCGCAGACCGCACCUUGCUGCGGUGAGCCCCCCUUACACCUUCCUCCCUCUUUACCAUGUUCCACUGAUUGGUGCUCUGACAGCCUCCUCCCGCGUGCUAGGUGUGCUACUGACGGCUUUCUCUGUGAUACCUGUGUGCAGGAAGUGGAGAGCGCCAUGCAGGCCCUCGAGGCCCUGGGAGGCGUUCUUGAUCCGGUGCGUGUGCCGUUCAAUUUCUAUGUGCUCUGCUCCACUGUAAUCUAGUGUGUUCUAGUCACAGCUAGCUUGCUUGAGGGGGUGCUUGGUGGUUUUGAUCAGUAGAUUCAGUUGUCAAUGAUUCAAGCAUUAUAUGCAGAUGACUUGAACCUUUCUUACUCAAGUUGAAGCCAAACUGAGAACUUAUGCUGGAAUUUAAGUUUAAAUUAGUAGGUUUCCUGCCUUAAAGAAAUAAUAUGACGGAGAUGGGUCUUGAUUGCGUAGAGCUUGGUAUGCUUUUUUUUUUUUGCAGAAUGAAUCAUUUAAUUUCUUGAAACUUAUAUUGCAAACUGCACAAGCUUAACUGCACGGCACACUAUUAUUUGUCUUGGUAGAAUUUGAUUGAGACCAGGGACAAGUUCAAGUUUGAUUGAAGGUUGCUGGCAGCUCAUCUUCACUACGAGACCGGGGACAACAUCCCCCUAUUCAGGUUAAGAAAAAAAAAUACAAUUGCUUCUGUAGAGGGGAAAAUAAUAGUAUUUGAUCUACUAUUUGCCUCUCUGUUCUUUCAACUUUGGAUUGUUCAGUCUCUAGACACAUGACUAAAAUUAUUGUCAUUUCGCAUUGCCUGCAGAUGACUUUUGUUGGAGUUGACUCUUUCAGGAUCUUCCAGGAAGUUUACCUCCGGACAGAUGAUCCAAGGGUGGUUAACGUUGUAAGGUUUUCAGAGUCAGUCGGUGAUCUGAAAGUAGAGGUAAUUUCUUUGUCAAUAUCACACAAGUUUUAACUAUGCACGGGCUUUAUAGAUUUCGUUCCAUCCUGUGUGAUACUGUAUCUUUUUGUGAUUUCUGCAUUACCAAAGCAACUGUAACACCCAAAAUUUCCAACCUUGCAUUUCACUAAAAUUUGCUAGAAACAAUUUUUCUUGAUUAAGGCAUAUAAGGUUGUUUUGCAUUUUCUAGGCAUUUAAGCAUUUUCUAAAUGAAAUAAUGAAAUAUAGGAAUUUAUUUGCGCAUUCAUGCUGCUGCAUAGAUUGCUUGAUUUAGAGUUUGUGUUUUGGUUUUCCUUUGCUUGAUCCUUUCCUCUUUUCAGUUUUGCUUCAGUAGUUUCAGCAGCUUCUAUUCAGUUUCAGGAGUUCAGUUUCUGUCUGAAGUUUCUGGUUGGCGCUGGAGGAUUCAGUCUGUUGUUUGAGCGUUCUGGAACAGCAGCUAGCUGCAGGCGCCAGCUCCACCUUUUUUUUCAGUCCGUCGCCGUUUCUUUCAGCCCAGCGCAGCGCCCAGUUUCCUUUCCGAUCGGCCUCCGUUUCGUUUCACCCGCGCCGGCCCAGCUGCUCUCUCCCGCAUGCAGCACCCCUCCAGUCGCCAACGCGCGGGCCCCGCGUGUCAUCCCCCUCCUUCGACCUCUCCUGCACGCGCACAGCUGCCGCGCCGCACCAGGACUCCGCCCGAGCACGAGUCUGACCCGGCCGUGCCCUCGCUCCACGUCCUCCUUUGUUUGGGCCCGCGCGCUAGGGCGUAUAAAGCCACUGCCAACCGAGCCGCCAAACCCUAGCCAUCUCGCGUCUCCCCGUGCGCCGCCAUCCGAGCUCCAGUGCACCGCCCACUGUGCUCGAUCUACACCGCCGUCGCCUCUCCGUCACCAACAAUGCCGCCCAAAGGACCGCAAGAGGUUGACGAGGCCGCCCGUGGGGUUUUUGUGCUCGCCUGUGCCUUUUCCUGCUCGCCCAAGCUCACCGGAGUGCUGCCGCCUUGCCGCGCUACGCGCCGCCGUUUCCCGCAGGCAACGUCCUAAACGCGCGCGCCGCGAUCUCCGCUACCUCCCAGUCAAACCCUCGUCAAAAACCACGCCUGGAGGCUUGUUUCCAAGCCACGCCGGCGACCCGCCACUGUGCGGCGCCGCGCGCCGCCCGUCCCACCGCCGCGCAGCGCCCGCCGCCGCCAGCCAUCAGAUCGAGAUCCAACGGCCCCGAUCCGCCCGCAGACCGGUCAACAGCCGCGUGUCGUGCCACUUUUGCAAAUGAGCCCCUGCAGUUUUCCCUUUUUACGCAUGAGUCCUUUCGUAGUUCAAAAGUAUUUAAAUUUUGGUCCUGUUUCUUCUAUUUUAGACCUUGAGUUUCUGCAAAAUAGCACCCACAGUCCAUAGUUGCUCUUUUACGUGUUAAACCUUUGGUUUAUGCGCGUAAUUGUGUUUAGGCCCUUGGUUUCUUGUAGUUAGGCCCCUGAAAGUUUAGUUUCCUCGCAGUUAGGCACCCGUAGCUUGUUUUAGGCGUAUCUUUUGCGUCCUAGCUCCGUUUUUAGCGUUCUUUAUGUCCACGCAUUCAUUUUGACGCAUAGAAGAGUUUUGUAAGCUUGUUUUCUUCUAUUUAUAUUGGUUGGUGUACUUUUUUCUUAGUUUAUACUUUUGUUUGCUUGUAUGUGCUCGUGUGAUGCGUGUAGAAGGACAAUAGUUCGAGGGGUUCGAGGAGCAAGCUUUUGAAGAGUACGAGCAGCAGGAGCAAGUGCAAGAAGGCAAGUCGUGUCCUUGAUCACAUCUAUGAGUCCCAUUACACCUUUACUUUCAUAUUCAACACAAUGUUCUCUUUGCACUUUGUAAUAUAAUCAUGAUGGGUCCCAAUUAAGGUUUUCGUAGAUUUCAUUCUAUACACCUUGAUCAACCGGGUUUACUUUUAUGCUGGGUAGUUCAUGCUUAUUGCUUUACUUGGGUUAUGGUGGUUUUAAUGAACUCAAUGAUUAAACUUGUUUUAUUUAUGCUAUACCUUUCAAUAAUACAAGAUCACAAUGCUUAAUUGGAACAUGGAGCGACCACCCAGGAAAACAGUGCAACCACAAGGACUAUAAUGGCUCUGGUCUUGGCUAAUUAAUUAGGAAUUUUGGUUAGUGGUAGCUUUACCUAAAAAGGGCCAGAGGGAGAGACAUUAGUUGGUGUAUAAACCGGUCCUUUUGGGUAGGGAGCUUGGGUAAGACCCUAUGCCACUAGGGAGGUUUAUGCAUUGCGCUGAUCAUGAAACCUUAGCGAGCUAUCCUAACUGGGGAAACUUUUUAAAGGCCUCGUAGCGUCUCUAUACAAUCACACCUUGAAAGUGUGGUAUGGUGCCUUGCAAACACCGCAUGGUUGGGUCCAAAGUUCUUUUGAACUUUUACGCAACUUAUGGGUAAAGAUGUGCAACCUCUACAGAGUAUAAAAUUGAUCGAUCAGCCAUGCUCACGGUUAAGAGCGGCAUGGACCCUCACAUGAUAAGAUUAUCGAAAGAUGGACUUAAAUUGCUAUAAUUUAUUUCAUGGUUAUUUUGUUAUACCUUAUUUAUGUUCCUGCUUAAUUGUGGGUGGUAUAAACUUACAUUUAGUUAAAUGCUAAUAAAAUUUGACCAACUAAUUAAAAGUUGAUGCUGGUUAAACCUUAGCCAUACCUUGGUUAGCCUUACACUACACUGUUCCCCAUGACUUGUUGAGUACCAACCAUAAGUGUACUCACCCUUGCAAAACCGCUAUUCAGACCAAGUAAAUUUGGAGGAGUAUCUGCAAGACUUCGAGGAGUUCUAGGUGUACGUUUCUUUAGUCAGCUGCUUGUGGAGUCAUCGCUACUUUUGGAGUUCCGCUGCAUAAUAAUUAGACUUUGUGGUUUAUUUGAGACUUUCGAUCCUAUAAUAAUGGUUAAUACUCUCUUUAUGUCGUUAUGGUACUGUCUUUGUUAUUCACUUAUAUCGUACAUGUGUGUAACUUGGUCCUGAUGCACAUGUAUUCAAUGCACUUGGUUUUGUCCUUAAAACCGGGUGUGAUAGAAGUGGUACCAGAGCCGUGUUGAUUGUAGGACGUUAGCCUAGUUAGAAAAUGGUCUUAUUUAAGGACUAUAAUAAUCUAGUAGCCACUCCUACCUUUUCUUAAUUUAAAUCUGCUUGAAUAGGCUUAAUCUUGAGUUUACCCCAUCCUUACUGCUAUGCUUUAAUUUUGCUGCAGUCAUUUCCUUCAUUAUUUAUUUUAAUCUUUUAUUUUGCUCCUGCCCUUGUUCUAAAGGAUCUUUCAAAAAAAUGUCUUAAAUUAGUUUUAUUUUAUUUUCUUCUGUUAAAUGGCUCGCACCAGACAGACAUCCCGCAAGAGCACCCGUCCUCCAUGUCGUGAGCAUCAUCCUCAGGUGUCCGAUGACGAGCCUGAAGAGCAGCACUACUACUUCCAGCACCCUGGAGAUGAUACAGAUGAGGACGCCGUAGCAGUGGAGGGAGUAGAGCAGGAGCUUGCACCAGCUUCAACUCCUGUGCUUGCGCCAGCACCUGUUGCAGUCAACGUUGCAGACUCUGAUCCAGCUUCAGAUCCAGAGGCAGAUCCGUCUAAGCCGUCUGAUCUAGAGUCUGACCCCAAAGUGGAUACACUAGCUCCUGAGCCUGAGAAGUGGACUAAGUGGGUGAAGGAGGACAAUGGGGGUGGGAAUCACUAUGGCUGACAAGUUGAGGACGACCUGGCACCGUUUAGGACAUGUCAUGAGACCCAACUACAAGUGUGAGCGGUUCACGCACCCCGGGUAUCCUAUGUAUUGGAAGGUGAAAGUGACCCUCUAUGAGCUGCACGAGGAUGGUUAGGAGUUGGUGUCUGUCCACAAGGAUGUUGCACAGAGGACAACUAUGAAUGCCGGUAUCGCCGAGGUAGCUAGGAGAACACUUGAGGUUCUCUCUCACAGGGAACAUCCACGGCUGCAAAACACCUACCGCCGGUACAUACCAUUUAGGCCCAAUGGUGAAGCUAGGACGUUCAUAGCCCUCAGUGGAAACAACAUGGCAACAGACUACCUUCGGAAGUAUUUAGCUGCAGCCCUCACUUCUUUGAAUGACGCAAAGAACAAUAUUCAUGCGACCCAACAAGAGUUACGUGAAGUCAGGUGGGAGAGGGAUGUACUAGUUGCUUCUACAUUAGGAGCACCCCCUUCAAAGUCGCCAGAAGAGGUGGAGUUUCCAGUUCAAUUGCCAUCACCCAAGCGCCCCUGCUACAGCUUCCUUGGCGCCACUAGAGAAGAUCUCUAGGUUCUAGGAGUGUUAAGUUAGUUCUUUGUAAUCAUUAGAACCGCCGUCGUUAGAGUGUGCUUAGCUUAAAGUGUGUUUGGAUGCUUGGUCUUGUGAUAAACAAUUGAGUUGGAUCUUUGUAAUGAUUGCGGUGUGUUGUGGGGUGAUUGCCACAAUGACAUUGGUUUUUGGUAGUAAAGUGCUUGGUUUGGGUUUUUAAGUUCUAUUCUAAAUCAGCUCUUAUCCCUCUUAAUCUUGAUAAUUUAUCUAUCUAUAUCUAUCUGUCAUGUGAGAUAUGUGUUGCUCAAAUAUGUUCUCAUCAUCAUGUGACCUGCCAGUACUAUUUAAUUUAUAUCUCGAGCUACAGGAUUCCAAAUGAUAUGAAAUCAGUUGGGUUAGUUCCAGAAUUUUGUGGGUUAUUUCUGUCAAAUUUUCAAAAUUUUUGGAUAUUCUGUAUGGGAGAUACAUACGAAUUUGUGAAGUGAUCAGAACCUGAUACUGUUACAUGAUACUGCUAGCUUGUUUAAUUCAUAUCUUGAUAUAUAGACCUCCUAUUGAUGUGAUUCUAGUUGGGUUGGUUUGAAAAUUUGGUGAAUUAUGACCUGAUUUCAGUAAUUUUGAGUAAUCCUACUGAAAGCUACAUCUGAUUUAAUGGAGCUAAUAGAAUCUGUCUUAUUUGGAUAUCAUGUUACUUUAUCUUUCUCAGUUACCUCCUUAUGCACCCAUCUAAAUCUAUUGUUUCUAAUGAUCAGAUGGUGAACACCAGGUUCGGAUCAGGAGUGGACCAGUCCGCAGUGCCCCAUCACAGGAACACCAGCAACUCCAACUCGACACCUCAGCAGAAUCAGCAGACACCUGCAAGGGUGGAGCAGUUCCUUGCAGCUCAGACCCAACUACUCCAGAACAUGGCCAACACCAUGGCAGCUAUGCAGGCUCAGCUCAACAACAACAACAACAACAACAACAACAACAACAACAACAACAACAACAACAACAACAACAACACAAUCAGCAGCAGCCGCCAAGGGACAAGCACAGGAAGUUUAUGAGCCAUAAGCCCCCAACAUUCUCACAUUCUCCAGAUCCGCUUCAUGUUGAUGACUGGCUGAAAACCAUGGAGAAUAUGCUUAAUAUCACCCAGUGCUCUGAUAGGGAAAAGGUCCUGUAUGCUUCAGGACGUUUGGAGGGACCUACUGCAGACUGGUGGGAUGCUUACACCACCGCCCAUGCUAAUGCUAAUGCUAUCACCUGGGAGGAAUUCAGGACUAAUUUCAGGAGUCACCAUAUUCCUGCUGGCUUGAUGAAGCUCAAGUAUAAGGAGUUCCUCGCUCUCAAGCAGGGGAACAUGACAGUGACUGAGUAUAGGGAUAAAUUUAUUCAAUUGUCCCGCUAUGCUCCUAAAGAUGUUGCAGAUGAUGAUCAGAAGCAGGAGUUGUUUCUGGAGGGUUUGAUUGGAUCACUCCAGUACCAGCUGAUGUCAUACACUUUCCCUACCUUUCAGAAGUUGCUGGACAAAGCAAUUGGCCCUGAGCACAAGCGCAAUGAGCUAGGGGAGAUGAAGAGGAAAUUCAACUCACAGACACAGUCAGUAAGCAGUACUCGCCCUCGCUUUGCUUCAUAGCAGGGGACACCACUCCGCCCAGGGGGCCCGAGUGGGAAUUUUGGGCAGCAAUCAUUCCAGCGCCCGGCUCAGUAGUUCCAGCGCCCCAACCAAUAGUUCCAGCGCCCAGUGUUGCAGACCCCACGCCCCAGCUUCCCGCAGAGCCGCCAGAUGACUCCUGCAGGAACACCAGUGAGGCCUAACACUCCAGUGGGCAACACUUGUUACAAUGCGGGGAGGUUGACUACUAUGCCAACACUUUCCCCAAGAGGAAUGGGCCGAACACUCCCGUGCAGAACAACAACACUCCUCGGCAAAACCAGCAGAUGCAGCAGCCAAGGAAUGAGAAUAAGACCCUACAAGGCAACUAGGGGCAGCAGAGCUACACACGUGGCAAGGUGAACCACGUAGGUGUGGAGACUACUUAGGAGGCUCCAGAUAUAGUGCUCGGUAUGUUCCUCGUCAACCCAGCCCCCGCAUUAGUUUUAUUCGAUUCUGGAGCAUCACAUUCUUUCAUUACCUCUCAUUAUGUGGCCAAGCACAAUCUUACCAUCUACGCCAUGAAGCAUCAUAUGUUAGUUAGUUCAACAGGGGGGUAGAUGAAAGCUUCAUAUAUGUGUCCUAAGGUUGAUCUUAAGAUUAUGGGAGUUGACUUUUUGGCAAGGUUGAUAGUCCUAGACUUAAAGGGGAUUGAUGUUAUUCUGGGCAUGAGUUGGUUGAGUAUGCAUGGUGCAAUCAUUUAGUGUGCCAAGAGGUCAGUUAUCCUGACAAGUCUUGAUGGAGAGAAGGUUGAGUUUGUGGCUACCCUACCAUCAGUAGCAGAUUGCAAGGUGAAUUAGUUGGCUAGGAAAUCUUUAGAAGAUAUCAAAGUGGUGUGUGAUUAUCCAGAUGUGUUCCCCGAUGAGUUACCAGGUAUGCCACCUAACCGUGAUAUUAAAUUUGCUAUUGAUCUUUUACCUGGUACUACACCUAUUUCCAAACGACCAUAUAGAAUGUCUGUUGAUCUGCUAAAAGAAUUAAAGCAACAACUAGAGGAAUUAUCGGAAAAAUAGUUUAUUCACCCUAGUUCAUCACCAUGGGGACCACCGGUUAUUUUUGUACCAAAGAAGGAUGGUACGCAGAGGAUGUGUGUGGACUACAGAUCACUCAAUGAGGUAACUAUCAAGAACAAGUAUCCAUUGCCCCGCAUUGAGGAUUUGUUUGAUUAGAUGAGAGGAGCCAAGGUAUUCUCCAAGAUUGACUUGCGUUCGGGUUAUCAUCAGAUGAAGAUCAAGCCAUCUGACAUUCCCAAGACUGCUUUCACCACUAGAUAUGGUCUUUAUGAGUAUACAGUUAUGUCUUUUGGGUUGACAAACGCACUAGCUUACUUUAUGUAUCUAAUGAACAAGGUAUAAAUGGAGUAUCUUGAUAAGUUCGUGGUGGUGUUUAUUGAUGUCGGCCUUUAUAAAAGUUAUAGCCCACAUCUUGAACUCCAACUUUUAUUUUUGGAAAUGCAAGCACAAAGAUCAAACUUGGUGAGAAAACACACGUUAAACAUGACACCUUUGCAUGACAUGCAUCACAAGCAUCUUUGUGCAUAAUUAAGCAUCAUUAAUAUCAUUUGUGCAUAGUUGAGCAUCAUUUGUGCAUAAAUGAAUGUUUUUUCCAUGCAUUGUUAAGUGCCCAGAAUUUUGUUAUUUAUAGGUGAAAAAUCAAAUUUGUGAAGGAACCCCAAUUUCUUCCAUACAACUAUGCCCCUAAAUAUUUUAUUUAAAUACUAGACACCAUUUAGUGAUUUUACAAUAUUUUUACCAAAAUUUUUAGAGAUGUUUUAUUGUGCCAAAAAUUCGUUUAAAGUUCAAUUUUAGCUAUUUUGUUUUAUCAAUUGUGUGCAGACAUAGCAGAUUUGGAGUUUAUUCUUGUGGCAAUAGAUUCUUCAUGAUUUUAUCUUUCCAACGAGUAUUUUUAAGGAAUUUUCGGACAUCUGUUGUAGCUAGGUCGUUUAGGAGCAAAGUUUAAUGGCUGAAAAAUCCACGGACCCACAUGGCAGUCGCCCCAUCUUCAACCUCAUGCCACCUACACACCCGUCACUGGUACGCAGCACGAGGAUCGUCGGAUUGGCCCCUCCUGCCUGCAGGGCUCCUCCUCCGCCCAUUGGCCAGCCGAGCAUCCUCCGACGUGCCUCCCCCGCCGCGCCACGCCUCUCUUCGCGCCCGGUUGGGCAGGAGCCCGCUCGAACGGCAUGGGCACAGGUGGUCGUCGAACUCCGGUGCUGCCCCUCACCGCCAAUGUUCGUGCCCGGUGCUGUGUCACCUCGCCAUCCUUAUCUCCUCGCCUCGCCCAGGCUAUAAAACGACCCCUUCCCAAGCCUCCUGCCCCUCCAAACCGAGCUUCUCCUCCAUUGAUGAGCUCCCGAGCUCGUCUCGGUUCGUCGUCGAUUCCUCCCAUCUCCCUUCGUCUCCCUUCGAUUCCUCUCACCCAAAGUUUCAUCACUUCCCCAGCUACACCCUUAGCCCCUCCUCUCCCUCAAUCGUCCACCGAAUCGAUGGGAAUUGAAGUUCCCUCAAAGUUACAAAAACUUUCAACCGAUGGCUCAACCCCACCAUGGCGCCCCACCCUCUGGUUGUCCUCGUCCUCAAACAAGUACUCAAAUGGAACCUAGGUGAGCUCCUAACCGUGAUGCUCGUGUUCGUUUUCCAUUUGCAUCGAGUUUCCACGGGCGUUCCCGCCGUCAUCGCGCGUUCGCGCCGCUGUCCUAGAGCCCUCCUGUGUGCCUGCUCCCCCCAACGCUGGUCUCGCUGGCGAGUCUCCUGGCCCCAAGGUGCCGCCCUUCUCCCUCCACUAGCAGCGCCCUUCCUUCCCCCUGCCAUGCGCUGGCCCAAGUGUUGUACCGUGCCUGUGAUUUGUGUUGUGCGUGAUGUUCUGGUAGGGAGGUUAAAGAAAGGGCCUAGGGACCCGAUUGCUUUUGGGAAAGAAAGUACAGGGGGUCCUGCAUAAAGUCUUAGGUUUAUGUUUAAGUGGGAUUGUUUCCAGGGGCUAGAUAGCAAAACGCAGGGGGUAGAACGUUAAGGAAAGGGCAGAUCCGUGAGGGGAAAAUGUUUUCUAGGGGCUAGCUUGCAAAUAGUUUCGGACUGGUUUUAAAAUGGCUAGUUUUGAAAAUGUUGACAACUUUGAAAAUGCAUAGAACCUAGUAGAAAAAUGAUAAAAAUGUGAUUCUUGUUACAUUGAAUUCCUUAUGAAGUCUAGUUUAUUUUAGAGCUGAGUAUGUGCAAUAUGCUGCCAUGUAUUUUGUGCUAUGUUUUUAUUUUGUGUGAAGGCCAUUAAAUGCAUUAGAAAACACCUAGUGCUCUAAAAAUGGUGAAAUCACUUUUGUUAGUUCACUUGUGGCAUGCAUGUUCAAGAUCUAAAAGUUGUGCUACUAGAUUAGAUGGUUUUCAUACUGUUUUAGAUUUAAAAUGCUUGUUGCCAUCUUCAUAUUGCUAAGUGCAUGAUAAAUAGUGAAAAAUUGGUAAAAUGAUGAAACCACUUUUGUUAACCUUUGUGUUACAUCUAGAAUCUAGGAAAAAUGUUGUGGGUACUUUUAUGGUUGAUUUACAUGCCUUUUUAGAUUUAAUAUGUUAAAUGGUAGUUUAACUUGUUUAAGCUAUAGCUACACAUUAAAAAUUGAUUUUGAAAUGAAUCCAUCUCACAUAGUUUUGUGUUGCUGUCUCCUGCUAGUGAGAUUUAUUUCAUGUUUAUUUCUCAACAAAAGACUUGAAUUUUACAAAUUCGUGCUUGUUUAGCUUAUUGUGCAAAAUGGUUUCUUUCGUCGUUCUUAUGUGAUUUCAUAUUGUUGUUAGGAAGGUUGUUUUGUUACUCGGUGAUUUCUUACCGUUUCUUUUAUCAUUCCAUGCAUUUCAUGAGCAUUUGCACUCAUAGCAUCAUCCCUAAUGCAUGCACGCAUUUCAUUCUGUUAGAGAGCAUAUUGUCGGAGAACAUAAACCUUGAGCCAAGGCCGGCAUAAAAAAAUCAAGCCUGAACCCAAAAAUAAGUAAGACCAACCACUUAGCUUCUAGUCGCUUACUGUUUAAAAUGAAAGCGUAACUAGGCGUCACUAUAGGUUUCUUUUAAGUUAUCUUAGCACUUUAGUAGAACCUAUGUUUUACUGUGAUGACCUUCCUAGCCUUGCUGCCAUACCUUGUCACUCGAGUAGUGUUAGUUAGUAACUUAAUCUUGCAAAUUUACUUAGUCCUGGUUAGUCAUAAAAUGACCACUGGAUAAAAAGAAAUGGCAGCAUGAUAAUCAACACUUUUUCUAAUAAGAUUCUUCCUUAAUGUGGUUUAAUAAACUUAAAAUAUAAUAAAUAGUUAACAUACUCAAUAAAUGUUGGAAAAUUUGGAGUAGCCUCUGUUAAGACUUGGGAACCUUAUGUAGAAUCUGUAAAUUCAGAUUGUCCCUGAAACCUGAGUUAAAAAUAGAUCUUUACAAUCUGCCAUUGGAUAUUGUUUGAAUUUUAAUAAUUUUGGUAGAAGUCCAAUGAGUCCCAAAUUUUUACAGUAACUCACUGAUGACUUUAAGAAGCCUCUUAAACAUUUUCAGCCCCAUAUCACACUUUAUGCAACCAGAAACACUUUUGAAGUGAAAGCUAGUUAAAUGGAAUAAAAACCAAUAUUAAAUAAAAAGGGUAAGAUAAGCAAUGCUAAUCUAAGUUGUUUAAUAAUUUAGAAAUAGGAUAACUUUCCAAAUGAAUGCCAAGCAACACUAAAAUAACCACCACCUUUCUUUUAUAGUUUUGAAGUUAUUAAAAUCCUAUAUCUGUACACAAUCACCGUCCAAGUAAAGCAUGAGUUUUAAUCACAUCCCACCUUGCUUUACAAGAAAAGACAUAGUUAUAACCUUGUCUAGUUAAGUGUGUCUAAGAGGAAAGAAAUGUUUAAAAUCUUAUCUAAAUAAAUGUGUUCCAGAAUACACCCUAUGCUUGUACCAUAAUUAACAAAAUGCAAUCUACACAUAAAAGCAUGUAACUAAAAUCUUGCAUUUGCAUCUCGUGUAGAGCUAACCGCGCUGAUGGAACGUACGAGCUCGACCGGAACACGAAGCAAGAGGGUGUUUGCUGAGCUAGACAUAAUCGUGACAAAUCAAGGCUCGAACCAUAGUUCGGAAGAGCCCAAGGCUGGGUUAGGGCAAGAAGGCAAGUCCCGGAGCAUAACCCAAUUUUCUAAAUUUACGCACUGCUUAUGAUUACUUAUGUUUGUGCAUUUAAGUUCAUAGGAGUUGCUUGAAACCCUAGUUGCAUGAUCCUAGGUACCUAUGUGCUGAAGACUAGUACGUUAAGUCAUUUAGUUGCUAUGCUAAAUAGGAACACGAUAAAAGUCGAGUGAUUUCUUGUUACUCGCGAGCUAUAGGAAUUGCCUGUUUACUUAUGUUGGAAUCAUAAGGAUUGAUGGGCGGGGCUGGUCUAUAUGAUUCUGGAUUGGUGGAUUACCCUUUUUGUCUAGUGGAAAAAUAUGCUAAGGUCGAACCAUGACAGUGAUUGUUGUGGUCAAGUGUUUGAAAGUACUAAUCUCAUACCUAGUAUGGGAUGGGGAAGUCUAGUACCUGAUUGAACUGGGACGUGGGCGUACCUCCCCACUAUCUCUGGAACUUGGUUCCCCUGCUGCAGCAUGUGGGUACAAGUGCAGUCACGGUACGACGAUGUUCCGGGACCGUGGGGCAUUGUAUCCAAGGGAAGUGGGCCCGACCACGUGCCUGUGGAUUGAUGGGGACGGCUGACAAAUGAAGCAACCCGUCAUGGUGCGCGGAUGUCGUGAGGUUAGGUUCACCUUGCAAGGUUUAAAAACUCGAUUUGAAUCGUCUGUCUCUCACAGUUUGAGACUGCUUGAUCACUAUGUUGCACUGAGUAAGAAGUGAAACAAAGGAUGAUGAAUAAUACUGAUGCUUGAUUAAAUUGCUUGUUCACAUGCUUGCUUAGAAUAGGCACUUACCUAGACUGGUUAAUCAACUAGAACCUGAUGCUAAAAUUUGAAAGUAAGGACCUACUUUAGAUACUUUCAGCAAAACAAACCUCUCGGCCAAAAAGCCUUGCAUGUCUAGGAGUCGGUGGAGUAGUUACCACCUGACGGAUAAGCCUUGUUGAGUAUUAGUAUACUCAGCCUUGCUUGUGGCUACCUUUUUCAGGUGCUGUUGUUUGCUUGGUUGCUAGUGUGACUCGACCGUCUCAACUCCCUCUGGGUUGGACUAUCGAGUGGGGCCCAUCCUCGGUCGGUGAGGAUCGUGGUGAUUGAUAUCAUGGCAGGCUUCACCAUGGUAUUUUGUAUCGAUAUUAGACUAUCAUUUACUUUUCCGCUACUUUUGAACUCUGAACUGUACCGUUAUGCUUUUGAACUCUUGAGUUGUAAUAAAUGAAGUUGGGACUUGUAUUAAUCUACUUGGAUUGUUGUAAUCUCUGAACUCAUCUUCAUGCGAGUAUGCUUUGUUUUGAUCCGAGACAAGUGGUUUUAUCGGGUGAAACCCGACGAACUGCCAUUUUAACUUGAUUAAAGUGUUGGUUCGCAUGUGAGGCAACAUUGAGUACACUUUAGCCGGGUUAAUCUGGACAGUUCCACUACACAUCGGCACAUCAACAAAGUCUCAGGGUCUAAUGAAGAAGACCUUCAACUGAUAGCCGAUGUUGACCAGAUUCGCUUGCGUGCGAUAGAGGCCAUUGAAAGGGCCAUUGAAAGAACAAUUAGUCCUCUUUCGAAUUCUCUUGUAAUUUGUGUGCAGUUACUUUACCCUUUGAAAGUGACCUUUCAAUUCUAUCCUUUACUUUUUUUGACCUCACGCAAUGAAUUUCUUUACCACUUUUAGGCCAGGUCAACUAUCACGAGAACACUAUUGCCUUGGUGAUCUGUGAAAGCUGAAAGAUUCAUGCCAUUACACCUCACGAGCUUUCUGUAUUGCCUUGAAGAUACACCAGCAAUCUUGUUAUAAAUAGACCACUAGUGCUAGCACUUUCCACCGCAAAGAACCAUGGCUCAAAGAAUAGGAGUCGUAGCUGGAAGCUCAUAAUAUUUGAAGCUCAUAGAGGAUCUAUAACCACCAGAUGCUACAAGAAUUCUCGUGAAAUUGAAUAGGAUGCUCCUUCCCUUCACAGCCUCUUUUGUGAAAUAUGGAGGCUAUGAUGCAAGAAGAAUUCUCUUGAUUUAUCUCCACAACAUCUCCAGUGAGCUUCUCGAAGAUGCCGUGACAGAAGGACACCAUCCCUCGUCAAACCAGCAGGGCACCCCACUGUUGAUUGGCUGCCAGGACGUCACCACGCGAAAUUCCACCUUUGCCCUGCUCCUCCUCGCCCUUGCAAGCCCAGCCACUGGCCAAAACCGUCCUUCACCUCCCCAACCAGCAGAAGCGCGCCGCCACGCGGCCGUCAUCUCCGGCGACCGCCCCUCAUCGCCAAUAACCGCGCAGAUCGGCCCGCUGCGAGCUGAGCUUGCUCUUGGACGCCUUGCCAUCCUCAUUCACCCACACCAGCCUUUGAACCAGCUUCCCCCAAACAACCUGCCUCUAUUACAAGCCACCGAGCUCCUGAGCUGUCUAUGUUCGCCGGCUGAUUCCUCCGCCAUCCCUCCGCCUCCACCAAAUCCCUCUCGCCCGCACCAAGUCCACUCCCUCAGCUACGCCCUCAGCCCCUCCUCUCCGUCCACUAGCCAUUGAGACACCGAGAAUCGAGCUUUUCCCCCUCCGCCCGAAGCUUCAACCGCUGCCGCCUACCUCGUCGUGGAGCACCACCUUCUGGCCUUCCUCGUCCUCAACCGACCGCUCAAAUUGACCCUAGGUGAGGCCCUGGUGCUCGUGCUCACGCUUGUUUCCCAUGUUGGUUAAGUUUCCACGCGCGUUCCUGCGCUUGCCGCUGGCUUGCGCCACCGCCUCCUGAAGCCCCUGCUACGUUGCCUUUUUCCUCGGGGUGGACCUGCUACUGGUGAGCCUUUGGCCUUGCUGUGCAGCCUCGCCACUAUCUCCUCCCCCACCGCCGCGCAGUUCUCCCCUGCUGCUGCUGGCCUAUAGCUGGGUUAGGUCCAAGCCCCGUGCCUGAUCUGCUUCUGUGUGCAUGUGGACGUGUUUGGAGAAGAAGAAGGAAGGGUAGGGGGUUUUGUAUAAAGGUUCCGGAUUUAAGAAUGAGGUGGGAUUUAUUCCAAGGGUGUAAGCGCAAGAUGUAGGGGGUUAGAUGAGAAAGGAAGGGUAGAUUUGGUGAAAGAAAGUUUUCCUAGGGGCCUAAAUGUGAAGUUGGUUUCGGUUUUGAUUAAAUUGCUAGAUUUAAAUUGUUGCAAACUUGGAAAAUGCAUAUAAAAGUGUAGAAAAAUGUUAAAAAUGUGAAUCUUGUUUUGUUGGGUUUCUAAUGAUAUCUAGUUUAUUUAAAAAAUGAUUUUGUUCAUGUUACUAUUCUGUAGUAGGUGAUAUGUUUUAUUUUGUCUAAAAGUCAUUAAAAACCUUAUAAAUCAUAUGAUGAGCCAAAAAUAGUGGUUCUGGUUUUGUUGUUUCCUUGUGAGGUCUAG